rnacentral:rRNA from 1 species
UACGUAGGAGGCGAGCGUUGUCCGGAGUUACUGGGCGUAAAGGGUGCGCAGGCGGCGGUUCGCGUGGCGAGAUGAAAUCUCCUGGCUUACCUGGGAGGAUGGUCGCCAGACGGGAUCGCUUGAGGGUCGGAGAGGGGCGUGGAAUUCCGGGUGGAGCGGUGAAAUGUGUAGAGAUCGGGAGGAACACCGGUGGCGAAGGCGGGUCUCUGGGCAUCUCCUGACGCUGAGGCGCGAAAGCGUGGGGAGCAAACAGG